rnacentral:tRNA from 2 species
AGCAAGAUCAGCUAAACAAGCUUUUGGGUUCAUACCCCAACAAUAUCGGUUAAAAUCCUUUUCCUGCUA